GGCAGGAUGGCCGAGUGGUUUAAGGCGGCAGUUUUAAGCACUGCUAUCGAGAGAUGCGUGGGUUCGAAUCCCGCUCCUGUCA